UACGGAGGGUGCAAGCGUUAAUCGGAAUCACUGGGCGUAAAGCGCACGUAGGCGGUGCCGUAAGUCGGAUGUGAAAGCCCUCGGCUCAACCGGGGAACUGCAUUCGAUACUGCGGUGCUUGAGUGUCGGAGAGGGUGGCGGAAUUCCAGGUGUAGGAGUGAAAUCCGUAGAUAUCUGGAGGAACACCAGUGGCGAAGGCGGCCACCUGGCCGACAACUGACGCUGAGGUGCGAAAGCGUGGGGAUCAAACAGGAUUAGAUACC
rnacentral:rRNA from 1 species